AUGACCGGACAAGCCGGCGUUGUCGGUGUGUUCUUCGCGGGCUGCUGGCUGCGGCUCCGCUCGGUGCUCGUCGGGCUCUGCUGCUGGGUCGCGGGGUUCGCCAGGAAGGUGGGCAGGAUCGCCAGGGAGGAUCCAAGGCGGGUGGCGCACUCGUUCAAGGUCGGCCUGGCGCUCACUCUGGUGUCCGUCUUGUACUACGUGACGCCGCUGUUCAAGGGCUUCGGGGUCUCCACGCUCUGGGCCGUGCUCACCGUCGUCGUUGUCAUGGAGUACACCGUCGGUGGCACGCUGAGCAAAGGCUUGAAUAGAGCCUUCGCGACGUUUGUGGCUGGAUUCAUCGCCGUGGGAGCUCAUCAGGUAGCUAACCGCUGUGGUGCGCAGGGGGAGCCAAUACUGCUCGCCAUCUUCGUCUUCUUGCUAGCGUCGGCAGCAACAUUCUCGCGCUUCAUCCCGGAGAUCAAGGCGAGGUAUGACUACGGCGUGACCAUCUUCAUACUGACCUUCAGCCUGGUGGCCGUGUCGAGCUACCGCGUGGAGGAACUUAUUCAGCUGGCACACCAGCGCUUCUCCACCAUCGUCAUCGGCGUCCUUACCUGCCUCUGCACCACCAUCUUCGUCUUCCCUGUCUGGGCCGGCGAGGAUCUUCACAAGCUCACCGCAGGCAACCUCGAUAAGCUGGCACAGUUUCUUCAAGGAUUGGAAUCUGAAUGCUUUGGAGAAAAGGCUGCCAGCGAGAAUUUGGAGGGCAAAGCCUUUCUACAAGUGUACAAGAGCGUCCUCAACUCCAAGGCCAGUGAGGACUCCCUGAAGCUCGGAGCUCUUUGUCGUCAGUGCGCGUCUUCAAUGGAGGCUCUUGCUUCCUAUGUCAUCACACUGCAAAAGUCCCAGUACCCUGAGGCCAAUCCAGAGCUAACCUUGAAGGUCCGAACGGCGUGCGGGGAAAUGAGCUCGCACUCUGCUAAGGCGCUCAAGGAGCUAUCAACGGCCAUUCGGACAAUGAUCGUACCAUGUCCAGCCAACAUCGCCAUGUCCGCAGCCAUCAAAGCUGCAAAAGACCUCAGAAAUGAAUUGUCAGAGGAAGCAGCCCUGUUGCAAGUGAUGCAUGUGGCUGUUACUGCCACACUUCUCUCAGACUUGGUUACGACAAUAGUGAAAAUUGCAGAAACCGCUGACAAUCUAGCACGGCUUGGCCACUUCAAGAAGCCUGAAAAAACUCAGAAAGAUGUCGCUAUCAACAUUCCGAGCAGAUAA
rnacentral:rRNA from 1 species